CAGCAGCCGCGGUAAUACAGAGGGUGCGAGCGUCAAUCGGAUUUACUGGGCGUAAAGCGUGCGUAGGCGGCUUCUUAAGUCGGAUGUGAAAUCCCUGAGCUUAACUUAGGAAUUGCAUUCGAUACUGGGAAGCUAGAGUAUGGGAGAGGAUGGUAGAAUUCCAGGUGUAGCGGUGAAAUGCGUAGAGAUCUGGAGGAAUACCGAUGGCGAAGGCAGCCAUCUGGCCUAAUACUGACGCUGAGGUACGAAAGCAUGGGGAGCAAACAGGAUUAGAUACCCCGGUAGUCCCUGUCUCUUAUAU
rnacentral:rRNA from 1 species